CUGUAUUUCAAAGUUGCUGAUUGUAAACAAACAUCGUUGAAGAAAUAAAUUCACAUGACAAGAUAUCAGAGUGAUACUAUAAAUCCAUUUUGUUAUUGUUGCCACACUUCACAUUUUUGGAACUCAGAAUUUAGCUCAUGGUGUACAAAACUUGUAAAAAUUUAUUGCAAGCGUGCCUUUUGUGUAGAACAAAACCGGUGUCACAAAAGUAGUUCCCUGUCCCAUGCAGAAACACAGCUGUGGAUCACUCUGUGAAGAGGUCACACGCAUGCAUUUCCCCGAAAGACGUGGCUGUUAGAAAACUGCUCGGAGAAAUUAAAAGAAAGGAAAAGAAAGCAAUUGCAGUGUAUGCUUUACCUCUGGAAUUUACAUUUUCAACAGAAAUCUCUGGCAUUUUUUUUAGGAAUAUGGAACUUUGCAGCAGAAUUGCAAUCGCUGAUGUGAGCACAGCCCAAAGGAGCUGUUUUGAAAGCGCUCUGACAGCUGAGGCCAACCUUUGUGUUUGGUGCAGUUGCCGCAUUAGAUGGAAUGUCACUUUAGCAUUUUAAAUAUGAAUUAGAGUGAGAUGUGGACGGGGAGAUUCCUUCUCCAGAAUUCCCCUCGCUCCCAUCUCUCCCACGGUACCCCCUCAGCCUCCCUCCCUCGCGCUCCCUGCUCUGUGACUACCGAUGUGCACAGUGUAAGCAAAGGCAUGGAGCGAAGCCAGCAGUGGAGUGGCUGUGCAGAGCGGUUGUAUUAAACAUCAGCCUUUCCUUUUGGACUGAUGGCAGCAGGGGAGGGGGAGCGCACGUGCUGACAGAUAAGUUAGAAGGAAUCAUCUGGCUCCUCUCCUCUGCGUGCCCAGCCUCUUCUGUUCCCUCUGCCUCUUCGUUGCACCAAUUAGCCUCACCUGUGGCAAAAAUCUUUGUUUUGUUUUGUCCCCGAUCUCUCUUCAGAACAUGGGGUAAAGUUAUUUUUAGUUUCUGGACUGAAAUGCCAGGCAAAUAUUUGGCUUAUGAACAGAGGAAAAAUCCAGGCUGCAAAGGUAAGUGUGAGACCUGCAAUUUGUUUUCCAUCAAAUGAGUAACUUGGUUUCACAGAGAGAUGCAAAUAGUUCAGCACGUUUUGCACACACCUUGGCACAGAUUAAUUGAAGAAAAAGGACUACAUCGUGACUUUGACACCAAGUGGGUUGAGGCUCUGGACAGAUGAACCUAGUGUACUGGGCUCUGCUUCAUUGCUUCUAGGCUUCUUUUGGUAACCAGUGAAAUUGAGUGCUCUGUUUGAAAUCCAGAGCGUUCUGUAAAUACUUGAAGAGUAGAAGUGUUUGCAGGCUUUUUGAUUCUAAUGAACAGAGGUGUAUGGGCGCUCAUCUUACCUCUCUCCACUUAUCCAAUUGGAUCUUGAAUGUUCCAGCCCUACAGCACGGUGCCAUGGUCCUUUCCCACUAGGUUCUCCAUCCAGAUUCCCCAAGCACUCCAGGAUUGCUGCAGUUACAUCAAAUGAGCACUUUUGCCGAGUAAUGUUUUCACGGAUAGAAUUUUUGCACUACACAUUGUGUGGACCACUUUGACAUCUAAUGCUAGCAGUCGUUACUUCGGAAGAGUGAUACAAAAGGGAUUUACCACAUAAGGCCUUUCUGUGAUACCUAACAGCUGCUCACCAGCCCUAUCAGACUGGUAAGUGUGAAGGGUUUAAAUAAAAGGGGAAAAAAAACCAAGGAAAAAGAAAACCAAACUACUGACAAGAAAAACACACCAUAACCCCUUGGACAGCGCUGAGAGCUGUCACAGCCAUUCCAAUGGGAGCAGUGGGUAGGCGAUGCCAAUAUCUCUUGAGCCCAUAUGAAACCUGGUAGGGCAGCACUAAUGGGGCAAAACGGGAACACCUUCACAGUGACUGCAAUUAGUAAAGGCUUCAGAACCAAUACCCUGUUUCAUCUGUGAUUUUCAAAAUAUCAGGGAGGAUCAGCAAAGUGAUACUACAAAAGUAAAUGGAAAGGACAACUCUGUGUUGUCACCUCUUCCAGACUGACCAAGAGCUGGUGGGAUGAUCGGGAUGGGCUUCGAAGGCUUUGUUGGCCAGUGAAGUUCUUCAGGGCUACAUUUUGGAAGAAUUAGAAUUUUUGUACGGAAGCGUGGAUAUUCUCAGCUGUUCCCCAACAGUGAGAUGACCACAAAAGGGCCAUUCCAGUUCGAGUUCAUAAUGCUUCUGCAAAGAAAGGUAGGUUUGGGAAGAGCCUUUACAAGAAGAAAUAUAUACCAAGUAGCACUGGCAACAGGCUUACAUCUGAGCAGGUGAUGAGCUCUGUGCAAAAUAGCCUAGUUAAUGAAGGCCAAAUACAGAAAUGUUUUGAAGCUGAAGUUUCUCACCUUUCAAAACAUCGCUAACAUUUUUUUUGACACUUGCAUGUUUUUCUCAACCAGACUGAGAUGUAUUCACGUUUUACAGACGAUCUCACACCAGUCAUAGCAAUCAGAAAUUGCUGCGGAACAUUCCACAGCAGGGAUGGAUGGAAGACUUCAUACUUUCCUCAAGACAGCUUUAGUAAUUAUUUCUCUGAAUUCUGCACUGAUGACUAGUCUACAGCAGAGCUUUGGAUUCUCUGUUUAUUUUCCUGCUCCGUGCUCCCCUGGCAGGCUGGGCUGCUCUGUUUUAUUCAGCUUUCUCUUACCUUCAGCACAGCUUGGUUUUGACUCAUAUAGGCCUAUAUGUGCAAAGAACCUGUGCUGUGCUCCCACAGCCCUUGCUGCAGAGCAGGAUGAUGUCUGUCCUGCUCUCAGUUUUAGUUUGGAAAAGCACAUCUGACAAAGACCAAAGUUGCUGUAAACGCAGAACAUGGACAUAAUCAGCAGGAUUGCAAGCCCCAUUUUGCAGUUUCAUCGUGCCUUUAUCUCUGCUGUGCCUCACUGAUUACAAAGGGGAAAGCUCUUAUAUGAAGGAAUAAUGGUGUCUGAUGACUACCGCCGUCGUAAGAGCACUUUCCAAGAGGUAGACACACAGAGCUAUCAGUGCAGAAUAAACCUCUGCUCAUCACUGAAAUCAGCUGCAGGACUAGUGGAUGCUAAGACAUGCAAGACACAGAGCCAGAGGAGGCCUCUUUAACUACCCACCGGCUCAAGGCAGUCUACUAAAUGCUAGAAGGAAAAAAAAGCCCUUCAGCAAAAAUAAAAAGCCACAGCCACAGAAGCACAGCUGAUGGUGAUGAAAGGCCUUGGAGUUGCUUUCCUUCAUGCCAGUCUGGAAAUGGGUGAAUGUAUUUUUCUGAAGAAAACAAAGUUGUGCCUAUUAGCGGCACUGGGAUGUCACUGUAAAUGAAGAAGAGCUGGGGCCAGAGAAAAGAAACGGAAAACGGAGAAGAGGUGUCUUUAAAUUGUGCCCUAGUGUCAAGUGCACAAAUGGGCUGAAGUAAAAAAUGGCAGAGUUUCUGCAAGCCCUUGGAGCAUUUUUCAACUAAGACAACAGCAGAGGAAGCCAUUUCACGGUGGCUUCUGAGCUCUUGUCAUGUUGUUAUAUUAUGUACUAGGAAAGAAAUGCUUUCCAAGAAUGGAUCGUGGCAGGACAGACAUUUCUUGAAAGAAGCACUGUGCAUAGAAGGCGGUCAGUAUGUCUCACUGAUGGUCUCGGUUCUCUGAAACAGAGUUUGCAUACCAUAAUUAAAUCGUUUCCAGAAGUACAGGUGAAUGAAAAUUCAGUUCAGCAGGAGGGACGUGAGUCUUCCUGAUCCCAUGUCUACUUCAGCUUCAAACUCUCUUUCCUAGAGAAAAGCACAGAGGUUCCUCUGUGACCCGGUGGCAUUUUUGCUGUCUUUCAGCCACUGCUGAGCUUUAAGACCUCUUACCCAGAUUGUCUCAAGGACACGUAAAGAAAGAAGAUAGAAGUUUGGUGUCGUUUCACAAGCCAUUGCACAAUUAACACACACGCGCACAGUACAACUAGCAUCCUUGCACUACUUUGAGACUAAAUCUUUUUUUCCCUUUACCUAGGGAGAAGCUUUAGUGUUACAGGCGGGUGGGAAAACCAACUCUGAGUCAGCCAGUUUGCAGUAAAGGAAAUGCUACAGAAUGUGAGCUGCGAUUAACAAACUUCUGCUUUUUAAUCUCAUUCAAUUUCUUCCUUAAUUACUUUGCUGUUUGUUCUUUUUCUAAUAGUAAGUUAGAGAAAGUGCAAGAUGCUUUUUUAACAAGGAGAAAUCCUAACUCUCCUCAACCUCAUCCACUCCAAAUCAACAGACGGAGAAGAUAAGGUGGAACAGUUAUCUGUGGAUAUAAACUAUGCUUUGGUGGGUUCUGCUUGUUGGCUUUCAGAGCCAAAAUUCAGGCAUUUUGUACAUAUAAAUAUAUAUAACUAUUUCUGCUUACUUAUGGAAUGUUUGUGCAUGCUUAGGGCACCAGUUCAAAAUGAUGAAGGAUGGUUAAGGCUAAGAAAAUGAAAUUCAUUGCAAAGCUAUAAUUUUGUUUAGAUUUUUCUCCUUUGCAAAAGGAGACUAAAGCAUCUUCCCUGUAAUAGUCAGCCACUGUGUAAUCCCCCAUCAACACCAAUUCUAGGGAAAACUACUCAGGACCCAGUCCCUGAGGCAAAAAGCUAGGACCUCGUCAUUUUAGCUCAAGUAAUCCACAUAAUUAACAACAAAAGUUGGUAGAAAAACUCAAUGUUCCAAAGCCUUGGACCUACUGACACCUGAAAAAGGAAAGGCAUUUUCUAAAUGGGAAGGCAUAGAUCCAGGCCUUCAAGCAUACACAGUAAUGAUGUAACAAUUUGCAAAGGGCCCCAGCUCUAGCUGAAGGGGCUACGACAUAGCUGGAGAGUGCUGUGCUCGCUCCUUGGACAUGCAAAGCAGCUCCCAGGAAGCCCUGCAAGCCUCUCCAUUGCUGCUGGGGGCAUCAGCAUCUUGCAAAUGCUCUGGUCUAGCAGGGGAAUGGAAGGAAGCUGGGCUCACAGCAGCUACUGUUCAUGCAACGUUUGACCUGCAGAGUUCCUGCCACACCUUUCCUUACUACCCUGACUCUGACUGCCAUGUAAACUUACAGGGCAAAAUGAAGUUGUCACUACUCAUCCUGUCACAAUGAAAGUCGAUAAUGCCUGAGCAGAGAGCUCGCAACAAUAACACCGUUUGCCUUCAGGUAUCUCUGUGGAGUUUCUUAAAUGGAAUCUGAGGGCUGGACGUUAGUUUUCCAUGUUUCACGCUAGCCUCUCCUUCCCCCUCCCCCUCCCCAGGAUAUUUAGAAGACUGGUAAGACCCAGCCACACCACACAUUCAGUCUGCAGAAGGAUCAUCUCCAUUCCCUGCUGGGACAAGAAGAUUUGAGCUCAUCCUCCAUAGCCCAGCAUUACCAAGGACUUACAGCGGAUGGAGACGCUGUGGACUGAGAAUUGAAAACAGGCGCUUAAGAAACCUGCAGUUUGUCACUUAUCUUGUGGCUGGCAGGCCGAGCAGGACAGGUGGGGCGGUCUCUGGGUUGUACUGCAAGCAGAACCACCAAGGUGUUGGCUGUCCCUUUACUUUCCCUGCAACCAGGUGAGAUCUGCCUAAGCUUACUCCAAAACUCAAGACAUUGGUGGAAACAGAAAGCUGUAAGUGCAAGGAUUCUGCUUGGGCCAGUCAAUAAUUUACCAGCCCCUCGCUGAUUUGUGCAGUAGGCAUUUGCAGUGCCUUGGCAUCUCUGAUGGCCAUAGCAAUGGAAAUCAGGGAGCUCUGAAAUUCAUAUUCGUGACCCUUUAUAUAAACUGGUGAGGUUUAUACUGAUCAUUAAAUCAAUCAAUUGCUCCAUUCCUCUUAAAUCAGCCCAAGUCAUUCUUUGGUAAAACUUCUCAGGAAAUGCUAAGCUUGGGGACCAAAAAUCAGUCACUCCUUUAAGCAACAUGGUUUAUGCCCUGUAAGUUAAUACAAUCCUGUCCGUUUCCAUCACUGCUAACCUUUAGAAUACAAAGGGUUUUUUGGUAAUUGAGCUGUGGACUGAAAUCAAUAAUGUGUAGAGGGCAGGGCAGUAUUUCACCUCCAUAUCUCCUGUUUCAACCAUACUUCCCUCUCUCUCCACUGCUUCCCAAAGCUUUACUGCCUUCAGAUUCCACCAACGCCAAACUGUAGCAGCUCAGCCACAGGCACCGAGCACAUGACGAUGCUUGUCCUCUACAGUGUGACUCAGAACAGGUGAACUCUUUGGGCUUGCUCUGUUUUAGUGAUGUUUAACUUCUGUCUGCAACUGCACUUCUUUCUUUUUGCAAAACACAAUGCUAUGUUAUUUUGAUAAACAAGUAAUCUGCUUAAUUACAGCUACUGCAACAAGCCCUGUGUUCUAGUGAGAAGAAUUCCUACAGAACAUCCUGCACUGAUAAUGUGAUACAUGCAGCUAUCAGUGAAUUAUUUUCUUCCUGCCAACUCUGUGCCAAAUGAAGUUCCAAAAUGGACUGAAAAGUCUUGACACUUAUAAAAGGAAAUUAAACAGUUUUUGUUAUCCACUUAACAGUCCAUUAUGUUAGACUUUAAAGCAACAGACAAGACAGUUGAAAUCAAGAAAAAAUAUAAUUGUUACGCUCUUAUUUCUGACCUGUAUACCAACCAUGGCAGUUAAGAUGUGAGGCAGUAUUAAUUCACUCACUGUUCAUGUAUAAAAUGUUUCAUCUUGGUUUAAAAAAAAUAAAUCAGUGUCAUGUUUUUCCAUUUCAAAUUUACUCAUGUAUUUGGUUUCUUCUAAUCUUGCUGUGUUCUAUAGGGGAUCAAAAUGCCUUACGCUUUAAAAAGAAAAAAAGAAAGGAAAGUCUUAACCAGUUCUCAGCUCCUGGCUGCCUGCCUUAAAGGUUCUGUUUGUCAAUAUGCCUAUUUGGGGUUAGUGUCUCAGAACUGCUUCUUUUAGCACACUGUGAGGACAGCAACGAUUCCUACAAGGUGGUUGGC
ensembl:lncRNA